AAACCAACAGGGAUUGCCUUAGUAACGGCGAGUGAAGCGGCAAAAGCUCAAAUUUGAAAUCUGGCACCUUCGGUGUCCGAGUUGUAAUUUGAAGAAGGUAACUUUGGAGUUGGCUCUUGUCUAUGUUCCUUGGAACAGGACGUCACAGAGGGUGAGAAUCCCGUGCGAUGAGAUGCCCAAUUCUAUGUAAAGUGCUUUCGAAGAGUCGAGUUGUUUGGGAAUGCAGCUCUAAGUGGGUGGUAAAUUCCAUCUAAAGCUAAAUAUUGGCGAGAGACCGAUAGCGAACAAGUACAGUGAUGGAAAGAUGAAAAGAACUUUGAAAAGAGAGUGAAAAAGUACGUGAAAUUGUUGAAAGGGAAGGGCUUGAGAUCAGACUUGGUAUUUUGCGAUCCUUUCCUUCUUGGUUGGGUUCCUCGCAGCUUACUGGGCCAGCAUCGGUUUGGAUGGUAGGAUAAUGACUAAGGAAUGUGGCUCUACUUCGGUGGAGUGUUAUAGCCUUGGUUGAUACUGCCUGUCUAGACCGAGGACUGCGUCUUUUGACUA
rnacentral:rRNA from 1 species